rnacentral:lncRNA from 1 species
UCUUAUCCUUCCUCUCCUGCCGGGGUAUCUGGGGAAGGACCACCGGAGGAGGAAGGUACAGGAGAAACGACGAGGUUGAGGCCGGUGACUCCCCCACACCGGGGAUCCCGACGCCAUUACCGCCGCCCUGGUCCAGCUCAGGCGAGAGGGACGAGGAGGACGAAGAGGGUGGUGGGGAUCAACCCGAAUUUUUUUUGCUGUUGCAAUAUUCUAAGUAGCUACUAUACAAGUUUCUCACUUAUUUUAUCACCCCAUAUUAACUUUAAACAAUUAAUCCAAUUU